CGACGCAACGAGUCUCCUCUAAUAGCAGUCGUCGAUCGGCGGUCGUAGCGAUCGUAUCGCAGCUAUUUCGCGUCAAUUUUUCAUAUUAUUCGGAAUAAUUGAAAUUCAGAUUAACCCAUCGAAGUGAAUGAUCGAUUAAUCGGAUCGAAAAAUUCCAGCGGCGUAUAAAAUUUCGCGUAUACACGAAAUAUCGAACCGGCUCCUCUGACAAGUCACAGAUCGAAUUUUUCAUCGGCCAAAAUUCGCGCGCACCAACUGUCUGUGCAGUUUAACGCUAUCUUAUCGGUAUCUCGGGACAUCGGGCGGGGAAAGUAAUAAAAAAAAAAAAAAA